rnacentral:rRNA from 1 species
AACGAACGCUGGCGGCAGGCUUAACACAUGCAAGUCGAGCGCCCCACCAGGGGAGCGGCAGACGGGUGAGUAACGCGUGGGAACGUACCUUUUGGUUCGGAACAACUCCGGGAAACUGGAGCUAAUACCGGAUAAGCCCUAACGGGGAAAGAUUUAUCGCCGAAAGAUCGGCCCGCGUCUGAUUAGCUAGUUGGUGAGGUAACGGCUCACCAAGGCGACGAUCAGUAGCUGGUCUGAGAGGAUGAUCAGCCACACUGGGACUGAGACACGGCCCAGACUCCUACGGGAGGCAGCAGUGGGGAAUAUUGGACAAUGGGCGCAAGCCUGAUCCAGCCAUGCCGCGUGAGUGAUGAAGGCCUUAGGGUUGUAAAGCUCUUUUGUCCGGGAAGAUAAUGACUGUACCGGAAGAAUAAGCCCCGGCUAACUUCGUG